UCUUCAAUAAUUAAAUCGUAAAAGGUAAAUUUGAUAAUUUUCAAUUUAUUUAAAUUUUGAAUUUUAAGUUAAUUUAAAUUAGUUAAGUUUUAACUGAUCCAACAGUCGACUGCGGGAACUCCUUUAAUUGAUUGUCUGCAACCACCACCUACUAGCUACCUCUCUUCACUAGUUUUCUCUCUUCUCUCAAUACAACCCUCUACGCUCUCUUUUUCUCUUCCCCUCACGUGACCUCUUUUUUCCUAUCCUCCUCGUUUUUUUUCCAUCGCUUUCUCUCUUUUCUUUUCUCACUUGUUCUUCUUCCUCCUCCUUACUCUUCACUCCAUCACUUCUUUCUUUGUUUUCCCUCUUCUUAACUACACCGGCUCCUAUUUCUACUCUUGAGGCUUUUAUUCCCAU
rnacentral:lncRNA from 1 species